rnacentral:lncRNA from 10 species
ACUAAAGCAGCCCCUGCCAGUGUCAUGACCCAAAUGAGAGCCUGGCCAGACUGCCCAGGGCUAGCUUCUCCAUUCCUCUCACAAGUCCAGUUUUGACAGGUUGUCAGAUUACUUUCAAAAAGGAGAUAAUCUUUCUCCAAAGGGUCAGUUGCUAAAUAUCCAAAAGAGAAGCCAUACAAGCAGGAUGGUUCCCAGAUUUCCUGGAAGCCGCAUACCCUGUGUCCACACCUGCUUUAACUCGGGUCCUCUCGUGGCAGGACUCCCACUGGAAUAGAAGCUUUCUGAGAGGUUCUGAUCGCCCUUAAGAAGCUCUGUGUGGCUGGAGGAUCGAAAACUUUGGGCACAAGCUGGAAGGUCAUUUACUGCAAACCACUAUCUCCCAGCUAAUCUGUUUGGAGGCAGUGGAUCCGGACACACACGCCAGUCUUCCCUGAGUGGGUUUCAAGGAGAAAAGCACCAGAGGGAAUAAUCUCCUAGGUUAAGGUCUCCUGUGCCCCUAGUUGCCUCAUCUAUCAGAAACUUCUCCUCCCAACAUAAAUACUAACAACUCAAUAGCCAACACCAGGCUGCAUAUUUCCUCUGCAGGCCCUGAAAUAUUAAAGAUGAAGAAACCAAAGUGCAGAGAAGUUUCAAAAUUUGCCUAAGGACAUAGCUAAUGAAUAGCAGGGCUAGGAUUAUGAACCGAGAUAUUCUGGGUCCACAGUCCCUGCCUGUAACCACUAUUCAACUCUGCCUUUACUAGGAACAUGGCAAGUUACUCAUAGAAUCCUAAAACUGUUACAGCUCCUUGAACAUCAUCUAAACUAAUUUUACAAAUAAAAAGACUGAGGCCAGAGAGAGGAAGUGAUUGGCUGAAAGUAACCCAGCAGGAUGGCUCUCCAACCCCAGAUCCUGACUUCACCCACCUCUGCGUGAGCAUGUUAGGGUCUGGAGCAUCUCUGCUGGAGACUGGUCCUGCCUAGUGCAGGCCCCCUCUUGAAAAUACACAGAAUUCUGGAUGUUGCAUACAUGGGAAAUUGUGAACAUGGAGCUCAGAGCUCAGCUUGCAAGAAAGAAGGGGAUGUCCCAAUGCCAGAUACAGAGAUAGUUGGAAAUAUGAGUGGGAAACUCCCAAGCAGAUGCCAGGAUAGCUGCAGCUUUUGUGAAUCACUAAAAACAGUCUUCGAGUUAUCUGGAAUUUAUUUUAGUGCAAGAUGUACAAUGAAUCAUACUCAUUUUUGAAAACCAAUUGCCCCAACACCAUUUGUUAAACUAUCUGGAACCCAUGUAUAUUACUCUACUAAUGAUGUACUCAAAAACUGGAAAAAUGGUGACCACUAUUAGUCGCUCCUAAUUAGAUUCUACAUCACCAUGGUGAUUCUGCUUUUCCGAGGAAAAGACAAAGAAAAUCUGUUUGCAGAAGACCAGAUGCUCAGUGGCAGGUAUAUGUAGAAGAACUCAGGGAGAGGAGGGAUCCUAUUGAUCUGACUUUCCAAAACCCCAGAUAUGAAGACUAAUGACAAUGUAUGAAAACCAGAACAUCCAGCUUCCCAGCAUUAUUUGGACAAAAGACUAUUCUUUCUCCAUUGAAUUUUUUUAGCAUGCUUGUCAAAAAUCAAUUGACCAUAGAUGUAUAGAUUUAUUUCUGGACUCUCGAUUCGAUUCCAUGGAUCUAUAUGUCUGCCCUCAUGCCAGUACCACUUCUUCUAUGUUCAUCCUUCUUGUGUUAGUGUUGUUUCAUCUUUCAUGAUUUUACAUGCCAUAUUAAAAACACUGAACUUGGAAUUAAGGAGUUCUUUCAUGGCUAGCAACAUUUGAACUGCUGUUUUCAGGUUCCUUUCCCCCC